AUUAAGAUGUCUGAGAAAAGUGGUAAACUGUAAAUUUACUUAUGGGUGAAAUUUAAGCUCUCUUAAUA
rnacentral:tRNA from 1 species